GUGUUUGUUGUGGCGAGGGACCAGCGCUACUGUUGCACCGUCUGGGACCUGAUCAGCAAGAAGAAACAAUUAGGAACCUGGAACUACCAAUCACAAUUUUACUUUGAACCCAGCAUCUUGUCACAGGGGGCCUGUGGAACUGCCAGUCUGCAACCCGCAAGGCCGAGUUAAAUUCUGGCUAUGCAUUCUCGCUGUCCGUGGACUUUCUUGCUCUCACCGAGAAUUGGCUAACUCCUGACCCACCCCCCCAACAAAGCUGUCAGGUGCCAUGUGGUGUGAAUGGAUUCUCACCCAGAUCCAGUGAGUCAGCAUGGGGUCGGUGGGAGAAGGAGGUACCCUUGAAUACCUGAUCCAGCAGCUUCUCCUUCACCUGUGUGAUGGUAUCACAGUCCAGCACUUUGGAGGGCAGCGGCUGAGUCUCAUUAACGCCUCCGCCCUGCACUAACACAUUCACAG